UUGUGCUGUUUUUGCAGUUAAUAGAGAAUAAUCUGGCUGCCAAAGAAAAGCAGAAAAAAUAUUAUAAACCUUUUGCCAUUUUCGCAUCACAUAGCGAUGAAUCACAUAUACAGUUUGGGAGCUCGUUGGCUCACAAGGUAUAUAGUAGCUGCUGAAGAUAUGUAAAAAUAACUAUCAGCGUCUUUCCUUUAGGACGAGGAAUCUGAUUGCGACAGGGAAGAGGAAGCAAUCAUCACAAGAGACUUGCAAGAAGAUUGUAAUUGCACUCUGCAAACUUUGUAUAUACAGAUGGAGCAUUUUGUGAAGAGUACUCUAAGGAAUGUUAUUGACGCGAGGGAUAUUACAAGGACCAACAGAGAAUGUGGCCUCUUCUCGAUGUCUAUAUCCGGAGAACGGUAACUAAUUCUUAGCAGAGCAGCUUCCUGGACAUCUCUCCAAAUCGCAUGUCGCACGGUUUAAGCAAUAACAUCACUUCAGAUAAGCUUGACGCUGAAAAAGAUCAAUGGAGAAAUCAAAAUGGCUGUGAUGAUGGAGAUGAGUAUCCUGAUUUGAUGCCUCUUCCUUUUGGCUACGCUACGAGAAAAUCAAGAGUUCGUAUUGAAAUUGAGGUUUUGCAAAUGCUUGAAAGAAGGAGGGCUUGCUUUAGUUGUCAAGGUAACUCUUUAUUACAUGCAUUGUUUAAAUACACGGUAAUUUAGUCAUGUGAAGGAAAUUUUGUACGUGAGUUGGAAAUGCUUUAUAUACGCUUAGUUUCGUAAUAAAUUAGACGGCUGUCUCUAUGUGAUCAAAAGAAUUCCUUUGAUUCCGAAAAGUGUGCUAUUUAAUCGCUAAAUUACUCGAGAAGAGAAGUUGCUUUCUAGAUUGAAUCAUAAAAAUAUUGUAAGGUAAAAAGAAAUUUACUAUCCAAACUGAAUCAAAAUUUUAUUACGUAAGAAUUGAAAGCGAGGUUUAAUUUAGACAAUACAGAAUGCUUGGCUUAUUAAAUGUUAUCUUUGUAGAAA